rnacentral:rRNA from 1 species
UACGUAGGGUGCGAGCGUUGUCCGGAAUUAUUGGGCGUAAAGAGCUCGUAGGCGGUGUGUCACGUCGGCCGUGAAAACCUGCAGCUUAACUGUGGGCGUGCGGUCGAUACGGGCAUCACUGGAGUUCGGCAGGGGAGACUGGAAUUCCUGGUGUAGCGGUGAAAUGCGCAGAUAUCAGGAGGAACACCGGUGGCGAAGGCGGCUUCCUGGACCUGUUCUGACACUGAGGAGCGAAAGCGUGGGGAGCGAUCCGG